CUGUGUCUCUGCUGUAGCUGUGUCUGUGCUGUGUCUGUGUCUCUGCUGUAGCUGUGUCUGUGCUGUAGCUGUGUCUCUGCUGUAGCUCUGUGUCCGUGCUGUAGCUGUGUCCGUGCUGUAGCUGUGUCUGUGUGUGUCUGUGCUGUAGCUGUGUCUGUGUUGUAGCUGCGUCUGUGCUGUAGCUGCGUCUGUGCUGUAGCUGUGUCUGUGUGUGUGUCUGUGCUGUAGCUGUGUUUGUGUCUGUGCUGUAGCUGUGUCUGUGUUGUAGCUGUG